AAGCCAGUUCAGUGUGCCCGCUCAACUUGAGAAUGUUUUGCGGAGUUUUUCACAAUAACACUGGCACAGUAAAGCCACAGUACGAGCCUUAAAGACUUUGUGGUCUCUUGAGGUCCCAAGAGAUGGCUACAUCU
rnacentral:snoRNA from 1 species